UAAAAUUUUUUGCAAGUAUUGUUCACAUAAAAUGUAAAAAGAUAAAUAUUGGAUUACAUUAUUGGGUACACAUGUAUGUACAUAUAUCGAAAACAAAUUUAUUAUAAAACAUUGUAUUACUGAUUUUUAUAUCGUUGAUUUGAUUUUUCUAAAAAUAUAAUUUGUUAUAUAUGACGCGAUAAUUAACAUAAUUUUUAGAGUUACAGUAAUGAUGGACUCACAGCAUCCCAGAUAACCAAGUAUGCCUAAAUAACGUAUAAAAAUAAGAUGCCAGUAAUCGAUGCUGAUUCUUUGCUAGGAAUAUGAAUUAAGUAUUUGAGUAGCUAGCAUGACGUUAACAUUUUGUCGUAAUCAAAUGCUCAGCUAAAGAAGAAACAUAUCAAAUAAGCAUACUGUUAACAAAAAUCAUAUAAUAGCAUAUAAUGUUUUCUUUGCUAACAGAUAUAUAAAUACGUUGCUAUAAUUAUGUCAGCAUUGUCAACAUCUAUUUAAUUCUAACACCAGCAUAAUGUUUAAAACGUGCAAAUGUUUCAUUUUCGGCAUCAAAUGUUAGCAAACAGCAUAAUAGACGACAUAGAUGUGUAGUAAAAUACUAACAUCUUUGUUAGCAACAUGAAAACAACUUGUGUUCACACUGGCUAUCUGAGAUCAUUAAAGAUGACAAAGUUUCUCACACGCUAAUCGAUUUGUAAAAAAAUAAUUCAAUUUAUAAUCGCUUUUUAGAGAUCAAACUUUUAGGAUACCGUAUAUUAAGCCAGUUCUUCUUACUGAAAUAUAUAUGUUACACUUUUUUUAUAUUCAAAGUCUGUACCACGAUUUAUUAUUAGAAAGUAUCACUUAUCACACUUUGGAGGUCACCUAAGUGACUUAUAGGUUCAAUCAAUUAUGGAUCCAUGAGGUUCACCGCGGAAGGUCGGAGAUUCAAUUGAUACUCCCCGAAGAGCAUGGCCGCCAACCAUCUGUACUGUUCGUCCUUGGAUGUUCCUGCUAAGGUAUUCCCAAAAUACGGGCUAUCCUUACAUCUGAAAGAUAAUUGAAUGUCUUAUGUUCUAUCGAGAAUACUGUAUGUUGGGAUAGUAAAGAUUUUAAAAUGUAUAAUAUAUCUUCCAUCAAGUUAUAAUGAAUAAUUAAUUGUUAUUUAUAUUAAAUUCUUACCUCGUAGGUUUCUUGUUUUUCGAGAUGAACGUGACAGACCAGCUGUGACAAAAAAAUAUCCUGAUAGAUAUUUUUCAAGAAACGUCACAAAAUUAUUAUGUAAUUACGUGUUAAAAGGUUUUACCCCAUCUGUGGAUUGCGUUUAGGUUCGUGUCCCAAGUACCAAACGAUAUCCUCUAUCUUCCACUCAUGAAGCUUCACGGAGCACACCUUGUCUUUGUAACAGCAGAGCUUCGCCUGGCUGAAUUCGAAAAGAUAAUUCUUCAGGUUCUUCGUCUUGGUGUCCGCGAAUUUGAGUUCUCCGGAGAUUGUCAUAGGCGGUUUCACCUAUAUAUACACACAUACAGAGAAAAGAUCAAGAAGCAUUAUUAAUGUCAAUUAAACCGUAUCCUGUUUUCGCACGCAUCUUUCUUUCCGCUUUUGAAAUCACGCAAUUUGAUCCGUAUAAAAUAGCUUGUUUUGUACCUUGAACUCACGCAAAGCUAUUAUGUUAUUUAGGUCAUGUGAAUCACUGGACAAUGUUUACGUACGUAUCAUGUUUGCGAAUGUUACAUUUUAUUCUGAGCUUUAUGAGAAUUUUUUAUCCGUCUGUUCUUCUGUUAUCAUAGCACACGCACCAGAGGCACGAUGUCCUUGUACAAUCGGUCCUUCUUGAGGAUGAGGAUAUUAUCUUUUCUAUCAUCCGGAUCCCAGUAUCCCCAUCUCGCCACCGCCUCCAGAACACGUUCGUUGUGAUGCAACGGCCGUUCCAGCGCACCUGACAGAGUGUAUUCUUCUAGACACAAUUCAUGAGCUGAUGAAUUGGUUUUCUCAGCGAGUUCCCGGCAUACGUCAAACGCAGUCUUUUGAGAUUGCCGAUAAACACAUUCUCUCCUUAACAAAUACUACAAGAAACUAGAAAUUGAGAAACUAUCGAUUUAUCGGGGAAGUUAAGAGACAGAUGAAGAAUAUCGAUUACAUCGAGAAGAAAUCCUUACAGUGACAUUCAUGCACUGUCCGUCUGGCGAUAAGAUGUAUAUCCAGAUCUUGAGAUCUCCCGAAGGCGCGCCUCGCGGUCCAUUAUUGGAUACGUGAUGUUUUUCCAAGACCUCCAGCAUUUUUGCCUCCUUGGCCAAAUCAGCCGACGACAGUUGAUAGAGCUUCGGGUACAACUUGAUGAGAUCACCGACGACCUUGGUCUCCGCGCGGUUCCACUCUUCGGCGCUGUUCCCGCCAGCGUGCAUCAAUGUUGGGCCCCAAACAGCUGACAAAUUUUCGGCGGUCAUCAGGUUCCUAGCGCUCUGCUGACUGAGACCAUGAAGAUGCGCCAGGAUCCGACGAAGCGUCGCCGACGUCACGGGAUUAGCGUAGACAGUAACUUCUGGAAAAAGAAGAAAGAAACGGAGAAUCUUUGUGACAUCUUUGUUUCAAUGAAAAGUAUGAAUCAUAUUCGACGCAUCAUCGUUAGUUUCUUUGAAUUACUAAACUGCAAUAUAUAUACGAUAAGAAUGAUAUGGAUACGUUAUCAUCUAAUAAUUUCCGUGAGAUAAGAAGACACAUUUCGAGCUGGGAGAGAUACUGAAGAGACGAGCUAUUGAUUAAGGUAAAAUGAAUAGAUUUAGUAAUAACGAUUUAAUGAGCUUCGAAAUGUCGAAAUAAAAUAUCGAAUGUGAAUCAAUUCCCUCAGAGAGAGAAUGUAGAAUAAAGGUCAUUUUAAUUUAAAUGACCGAUAAUGCGCUGCGUUAGAUAUUAUAAUCAUCUUAAUACGAUUUUAGGUAUUAUAGAUAACGCGUUACAUAAUUAAACAUUUUUGUCAUUUGAGUCAUAGACACUGUUUGAGAUACAUAUAGCUCGUUACGAAACACCUAGAAAGUAUUGCAACCGAUGUAAUUAACGACAACAUCGUGCGGGCUUUACAAUGGAGCUCGAUAAACGAGUCGCAGACAAUUACAGCACUAAUAUUAUUAUAUGAGAAACACUUAAGUAUGAUUAUGUCUAUUUUUCCAUAUCUCGCGGACGAGGAAACGUUUUUCUAUUUUGGACAAUUUAGAUUAGAAUUAAAUUUGCUUAAGAAAAUUUAGUGAGCAAUUUUAAUAUCGACUUCAAAUCGAAGCAAGAAUCGCGAAUAAUUUUUCUCGAGAAGAAUUUAAAUUUAAUCAAAUGCUAAUUAUGUAUUAAUUGAAUUCCUGAUGAAAAAAACACUGUGAUCUCAUGAAAAAAAAAUUGAGAAAGAUUUAUUCAGUGCAGGAACUUUCGAAAAUUAAAAUAUGCCAACUUAUAA